rnacentral:rRNA from 1 species
GACGAACGCUGGCGGCGUGCUUAACACAUGCAAGUCGAACGGUGAAGGGACCAGCUUGCUGGUUCUGGAUGAGUGGCGAACGGGUGAGUAACACAUGAGUAACCUGCCCCCUUCUUCUGGAUAACCGCAUGAAAGUGUGGCUAAUACGGGAUAUUCUGGGUCUGUCGCAUGGCGGGCCCGGGAAAGAUAUUGCUUCGGUGGGGGAUGGGCUCGCGGCCUAUCAGCUUGUUGGUGGGGUGAUGGCCUACCAAGGCGGUGACGGGUAGCCGGCCUGAGAGGGUGGACGGUCACACUGGGACUGAGACACGGCCCAGACUCCUACGGGAGGCAGCAGUGGGGAAUAUUGCACAAUGGGCGCAAGCCUGAUGCAGCGACGCCGCGUGAGGGAUGGAGGCCUUCGGGUUGUAAACCUCUUUCGCCAGUGAAGCAGGCCUGCUCCGUGUGGGUGGGUUGACGGUAGCUGGAUAAGAAGCGCCGGCUAACUACGUG